GGAGAAGGAGGCCCUACAACUCCCAGCCCCUGGCAGCAAAGAGCUGGGCCCCAGGCUCACUCUAUAUAGGGAGGUUAAAACAAUACUUGGAGUUCCUGCAGCCCAGGCAAAAUAUCCCUAGGGACCCUCAAGGCUGUGCAAGCCCAACUCUCUCACAGACAGGAACUCAUAUAUUACAGAGAUCCUGAUCCUUGGAGUGGUGGGCUACAAGCCAGUCUCAUUCCCUCCACAGCUCUGGGGGAGGCCCUGGGAUGAAAGUCUGAAUGGCAGAGACACGGUUCUGAAGGAGAUGGACAGCGAGAAGUCACACACAUGCCUGUUUAGAAAGUGAGAAUGGCUCACUCUCACCCACC
rnacentral:lncRNA from 1 species